rnacentral:rRNA from 1 species
GACGAACGCUGGCGGCGUGCUUAACACAUGCAAGUCGAACGGAAAGGCCCUGCUUUUGUGGGGUGCUCGAGUGGCGAACGGGUGAGUAACACGUGAGUAACCUGCCCUUGACUUUGGGAUAACUUCAGGAGACUGGGGCUAAUACCGGAUAGGAGCUCCUGCUGCAUGGUGGGGGUUGGAAAGUUUCGGCGGUUGGGGAUGGACUCGCGGCUUAUCAGCUUGUUGGUGGGGUAGUGGCUUACCAAGGCUUUGAUGGGUAGCCGGCCUGAGAGGGUGACCGGCCACAUUGGGACUGAGAUACGGCCCAGACUCCUACGGGAGGCAGCAGUGGGGAAUAUUGCACAAUGGGCGGAAGCCUGAUGCAGCAACGCCGCGUGCGGGAUGACGGCCUUCGGGUUGUAAACCGCUUUCGCCUGUGACGAAGCGUGAGUGACGGUAAUGGGUAAAGAAGCACCGGCUAACUACGU